GUCAUCCAUUAUAUUAAAUUAUUAAACAUGCCUGAUCCCAUCCGAUCUCGGAAGUUAAGCAAGGUCGGGCCUGGUUAGUACUUGGAUGGGAGACCACCUAGGAAGACCACGUGCUGCAGGCG
ensembl:rRNA 5S_rRNA 5S ribosomal RNA